rnacentral:rRNA from 1 species
CCUAGGGUGGGCAGCAGUGGGGAAUAUUGGACAAUGGGCGAAAGCCUGAUCCAGCCAUGCCGCGUGUGUGAAGAAGGCCUUCGGGUUGUAAAGCACUUUCAGUGGGGAAGAAAGCCUUGGGGCUAAUACCCUCGAGGAAGGACAUCACCCACAGAAGAAGCACCGGCUAACUCCGUGCCAGCAGCCGCGGUAAUACGGAGGGUGCGAGCGUUAAUCGGAAUUACUGGGCGUAAAGCGCGCGUAGGCGGUCUGAUAAGCCGGUUGUGAAAGCCCCGGGCUCAACCCGGGAACGGCAUCCGGAACUGUCAGGCUAGAGUGCAGGAGAGGAAGGUAGAAUUCCCGGUGUAGCGGUGAAAUGCGUAGAGAUCGGGAGGAAUACCAGUGGCGAAGGCGGCCUUCUGGACUGACACUGACGCUGAGGUGCGAAAGCGUGGGUAGCAAACAGGAUUAGAUACCCGGGUAGUC